ensembl:misc_RNA Metazoa_SRP Metazoan signal recognition particle RNA
GCUGGGCAUGGUGGUGCAUGCCUGUAAUCCCAGCUACUCAGGAGGCUGAGGCAGGAGAAUCAUUUGAACCCAGGAGGUGGGGUUUGCAGUGAGGUGAGAUCGUGCCACUGCAAUCCAGCCUGGGUGACAGAGCAAGAUUCUGUCUCAA